AUGACGGCAUCGCCGACCGGGACCAGAAACCCUGUCGCAAAGAUUUCCUCGAACCCCGACACAACAAAGUCAGCGACACGGGAAAUCCCUUAUCCCAAAAUACUGCAGGAUGGAGCCGUGGAAAGUUUCAGACCCCAGGAGGUUCAGGAGAAAGUCACCCAUGCUGAGCCUCUAUCGCCUCCCAAUGAGCAGGAGGCCGAAACAACAUCAGGGGACAACGGCUGCGAAGAGGACCGGAACCGUGUUGGUGUGGACCCGACACAGGACGGACCAGUCCUCCAGUCGGGGGUCAGUUCUCAGGUUGAGUCCGGCCUCAGCACUGAGCCACCCGUCAGCGAUAAAAUGAGUCAGCAUCAGUUUACAACAGCCCACCUGACGCCAUACUGUGUCAGAAUGACAGAGGAGCCCUGUGGGUUCUCAGAUGAGUCCGAUGUGGAAGUCCCUUUUGAAGAAUCGGUGGGAAGAGAAGAUAAGCAGGAGCUGCAUGCGCCAAUGGAUGCGCGUCCAGAGAAAGAGUUCAUAGGCGAAGAAAUAGAGCAAGUGCAAGAGGAACCGUCAGAUUCUGGAACAGAGGUGGGAUUUGAUCCAAACUUUGAUUCCAGGACAAGUAAACCAGUGUCUGAAGAGAGCUUGAUCCACAAAGUGACAGACUUCAACCCCGAUGAAAACAUCUUGAAGGAGGAGGCAGCCGAGACGAGGCAAGAAAUGAGCUCUUCUGUCGUGGGAACCAAUGAGAUGGAUGUUGAGGAUAAGUUGUACACGGAUGGAGAAGAGAUGGACACAUGGGAUAGUGUAAUCGAGAGGAAAAAGAAGACGGAAGAAGGCAUCAAAAAGGACGAAGAAAAAGGACAACACGCUGAACCAGAGGAAGAUAUAUCCGCCAGAGAUCAAAAGCAUGAAGAGAGAGAAAGUAGGUCUGAUUUAGGUGCUCAUCCAGACAACAACGAGGCUUCUUUCGUGACGGCCACACUCGUAGAUGACGAUGGACGACGUGUCGCUCUAGACCAAGAGCGCCCACUUUCCCCCGACAGCGAAGAAGACGACGACGACCAGGAUUCUCAAAAUGUGUCCGUGUCGUGGAGGACCGAGCUGGAGGGCGACAGCUACGCUCAGGAUAACACGCUCGCCGACACUCGGCCUCUGAUCCGAUACAAGAGCGACGAGGCCGACGCCAACACUCAGGCGUCGCACGUGGACGAGAGCGACUCCAGCGAGGGUGAUCAGGAGAAGAAGUUCGGAGAGACGGGGAUGUGGAGCGAAGGCAAGUCGAAGAGAUUUGGAACGAUGGAAGAUCUGUGCGAAGAAGUUGAAGGCGAAGCGCUGGAUGAGGAGUAUAAUCUGGGGUAUACUCACAUGGAGAACAGGGCUGCUGGUCAUGGUCAGACUGGAAGUGAGCAGGCCGCACUGGGCAACGCACAAGGAAUGAUCGGAGAGCUCAGUGACGGACAAUCGGAUGGAGAAACUGAAGAACUUACCGAACCCACGAAUAUGUGCAACGACGUGGAGCUGGAGACGGACCGACUUGUGGAGCAGGAGUUAGAGAACUUAGCCACGGACAGCUACAGCGCUCACUUUGCACAGCGGCGGGGGAGCGCGAGCGAGGAGACGCUGCAUCUGCAGGGCAAGUCCGUCGAGGAGAAGGCAGAGCCAGAAGAGGCUGGGAUGCAUUCCCGUGCAGAGUCACUUUCAUCUUCCAGUCCAGUUACAGAUCGACCUUACGAGAACCUGCAUGAAUCGUCGGUGGCGGAGCCUCAAGCAGACACUCUGGCGUAUGAGGAGGUGCAUCAUAAAGAUCAGGUGGCGACAGAUGCUCCAGAGGAAAGAGAGGAGGAGGAGCACAAUGCGUCCACGGUGACACACGCCGAUGCCACAGAAGAUCCCUCUCGCUUCGCUGACUUCAUCAGCAGGUCCGAUAUGGAAGAAAUCAACAACUCAGAGGAUCCAAACUCUGUGUUGCAGGUCUCAGCGGACCAGGAAGGCCUCCAGGGGGCGGCUGCCCCCGCGCAGGGGAAAGAGGAAGCAUCGAGUGCAUCUCUAGGACAUCUCGUUGAGGAUGUCGCAGACCGCAAGUUUCCAGAAACUCCAGAAACCGCUGAGUGGGAAGUCCUAGAGAACCCAAGUGAGGACUUUGAAUUCAGAGAUCAGAGUGAAGAUUAUGAAAAAUGGACUAAUGUGCUGGAAUCAGCUGAAAGUUAUCAGAACGACGGCGACGGCGGCUCCAAUGAGGGCGUCAUGACACGGAAGGAGACCCCGGAGGUUUCCCCCGGCAGUGCGCCUGAUGGAAACGACAUCUUUGUGGCCGAAUUGGUGAACACAAACGGCAAAGACAACCUCCACGGUUUCUUUACCUCUGGCUUAACGGAUGACAUCUGGGAGACCGGUGCCGCCUAUCGGCCCGAUGAGGCCCGUAACGAAGCAGCGGGGCAAACCAAUCAGAAUUUAGUUUGGGGGAAUUCAGAGAAUGUGGUAAACUCCAGGGCAGAGACGAUGGACUCAUCCAAAGCCCCGAACGCCAAGAAGGAGCAGGAGCGUCCGGAGGUGAAGCAGGUGGUGCGUCGCAAUGUUGUGGAGGCGGAGUUUGUUCGCUCUGACGAGUCUGACGUUGAGGGGGAAUCCUGGUCCUCCGGGGAGGAACCGGUGUGA
ensembl:lncRNA